rnacentral:rRNA from 1 species
GUGUCAGCCGCCGCGGUAAAACGUAGGAGGCGAGCGUUAUCCGGAUUUACUGGGCGUAAAGCGCAUGCAGGUGGUCUUGCAAGUGGGAUGUGAAAGCCCCUGGCUUAACUAGGGGAGGUCGUUCCAGACUGCGAGGCUGGAGGUCGGGAGAGGAAAGCGGAAUUCCCGGUGUAGUGGUGGAAUGCGUAGAUAUCGGGAGGAACACCAGUGGCGAAAGCGGCUUUCUGGCCCGCACCUGACACUAAGAUGCGAAAGCGUGGGGAGCGAACGGGAUUAGAUACCCCGGUAGUCCACGCUGUAAACGAUGGGUACUGGGUAUCGGCGGUAUUGACCCCGUCGGUGCCGAAGCCAACGCGUUAAGUACCCCGCCUGGGGACUACGGCCGCAAGGUUAA